GACAGAGGGUGCAAACGUUGUUCGGAAUUACUGGGCGUAAAGCGCGUGUAGGCGGCUCUGCAAGUCGGAUGUGAAAUCCCACGGCUCAACCAUGGAAGUGCAUUCGAAACUGCAGGGCUAGAGUCCUGGAGAGGAAGGUGGAAUGCUUGGUGUAGAGGUGAAAUUCGUAGAUAUUAGGAAGAACACCGGUGGCGAAGGCGGCCCACUGGAUCGGUACUGACGCUGAGGUGCGAAAGCGUGGGGAGCAAACAGG
rnacentral:rRNA from 1 species